rnacentral:rRNA from 1 species
UGCUGGAGGUAUCAGAAGUGCGAAUGCUGACAUAAGUAACGAUAAAGCGGGUGAAAAGCCCGCUCGCCGGAAGACCAAGGGUUCCUGUCCAACGUUAAUCGGGGCAGGGUGAGUCGACCCCUAAGGCGAGGCCGAAAGGCGUAGUCGAUGGGAAACAGGUUAAUAUUCCUGUACUUGGUGUUACUGCGAAGGGGGGACGGAGAAGGCUAUGUUAGCCGGGCGACGGUUGUCCCGGUUUAAGCAUGUAGGCUGGUUGUCCAGGCAAAUCCGGAUAAUCAAGGCUGAGGUGUGAUGACGAGGCACUACGGUGCUGAAGUAACAAAUGCCCUGCUUCCAGGAAAAGCCUCUAAGCAUCAGGUAACAUUAAAUCGUACCCCAAACCGACACAGGUGGUCAGGUAGAGAAUACCAAGGCGCUUGAGAGAACUCGGGUGAAGGAACUAGGCAAAAUGGUGCCGUAACUUCGGGAGAAGGCACGCUGGUGUGUAGGUGAAGUCCCUGCGGAUGGAGCUGAGACCAGUCGAAGAUACCAGCUGGCUGCAACUGUUUAUUAAAAACACAGCACUGUGCAAACACGAAAGUGGACGUAUACGGUGUGACGCCUGCCCGGUGCCGGAAGGUUAAUUGAUGGGGUUAUCCGUAAGGAGAAGCUCUUGAUCGAAGCCCCGGUAAACGGCGGCCGUAACUAUAACGGUCCUAAGGUAGCGAAAUUCCUUGUCGGGUAAGUUCCGACCUGCACGAAUGGCGUAAUGAUGGCCAGGCUGUCUCCACCCGAGACUCAGUGAAAUUGAACUCGCUGUGAAGAUGCAGUGUACCCGCGGCAAGACGGAAAGACCCCGUGAACCUUUACUAUAGCUUGACACUGAACAUUGAGCCUUGAUGUGUAGGAUAGGUGGGAGGCUUUGAAGCGUGGACGCCAGUCUGCGUGGAGCCAACCUUGAAAUACCACCCUUUAAUGUUUGAUGUUCUAACGUUGGCCCCUUACCGGGGUUGCGGACAGUGUCUGGUGGGUAGUUUGACUGGGGCGGUCUCCUCCCAAAGCGUAACGGAGGAGCACGAAGGUUAGCUAAUCCUGGUCGGACAUCAGGAGGUUAGUGCAAUGGCAUAAGCUAGCUUGACUGCGAGCGUGACGGCGCGAGCAGGUGCGAAAGCAGGUCAUAGUGAUCCGGUGGUUCUGAAUGGAAGGGCCAUCGCUCAACGGAUAAAAGGUACUCCGGGGAUAACAGGCUGAUACCGCCCAAGAGUUCAUAUCGACGGCGGUGUUUGGCACCUCGAUGUCGGCUCAUCACAUCCUGGGGCUGAAGUAGGUCCCAAGGGUAUGGCUGUUCGCCAUUUAAAGUGGUACGCGAGCUGGGUUUAGAACGUCGUGAGACAGUUCGGUCCCUAUCUGCCGUGGGCGCUGGAGAAUUGAGGGGGGCUGCUCCUAGUACGAGAGGACCGGAGUGGACGCAUCACUGGUGUUCGGGUUGUCAUGCCAAUGGCACUGCCCGGUAGCUAAAUGCGGAAGAGAUAAGUGCUGAAAGCAUCUAAGCACGAAACUUGCCCCGAGAUGAGUUCUCCCUGAGACUUUAAGUCUCCUGAAGGAACGUUAAAGACGAUGACGUUGAUAGGCCGGGUGUGUAAGCGCAGCGAUGCGUUGAGCUAACCGGUACUAAUGAACCGUGAGGCUUAACCUU